GGGGGGGGGGGGGGGGGGGGGGGCAGCUGGUGCGGGCGCUCUGGACGCUCGAGUACACCCCGCAGCACAGCCGCGACUUCAAGAACAUCGUGUCCAAGAACGCGAUGCAGUACCGCGGCAACGCCCAGCACGAUGCCCAGGAGUUCCUGCUCUGGCUCCUCGACAGAGUGCACGAGGAUCUCAACAACGUGGUCAAUUCUGGUGGCAUGCCUCCACUCAAGCCACCUCUGGAGGAUGAUGUGCUGCUUGAGGGCCCAGCCUUUCCCAUCAAUAGCACUUUUGUGCAGGAACUCUUUCAAGCCCAGUACAGGUCCUCCCUGACGUGCCCUCAUUGCCAGAAGCAGAGCAACACCUUUGACCCUUUCCUGUGCAUCUCGCUGCCGAUCCCUCUGCCCCACACUCGGCCCCUGUAUGUGACCGUGGUGUACCAGGGCAAGUGCUCGCACUGCAUGCGCAUCGGGGUGGCCGUGCCCGUCGCCGGGACGGUGGCCAGGCUCAGGGAGGCCGUCUCCUCGGAAACCAAGAUCCCCACCGAGCAGAUCGUGCUGACAGAGAUGUACUACGAUGGCUUCCAUCGCUCCUUCUGCGACACCGACGACCUGGACACCAUCCACGAGAGCGACUGCAUCUUUGCCUUUGAGACCCCAGAGACCUUCAGGCCUGAGGGCAUCCUCAGUCAGAGAGGAAUACAUGUGAACAAUAACCUGAAUAACUUGAAAUGUGGCACUGAGCACUCCCGAACAAUAGCUUACUCUCAAGGAACGGUGAAGUCUGGAAAACUGGAACAGUCCUGUCCUAAACUAGCAGCAAAUGACAAGAUUGUCUUGCUGGUGUGUAACAGAGCGUGCACUGGACAGCAGAGCAAAAGGUUUGGUUUGCCCUUUGUGUUGCACUUGGAAAAAACAAUUGCUUGGGAUAUUCUGCAGAAGGAAAUACUGGAGAAGAUGCAGUAUUUCCUGCGGCCUGCAGCCUGCUUGCAGGUUUGCCCGUUCAGCUUGCGAGUGGUCAGUGUUGUGGGCAUCACAUACUUGCUACCUCAGGAGGAGCGACCCCUCUGCCACCCAACAGUGGAAAGGGCAUUGAAAUCAUGCGGACAGGGGGGAACUGCUCACGUGAAAUUAGUGGUAGAAUGGGACAAAGAAACUAAAGAUUACUUGUUUGUGAAUACAGAAGAGGAAUAUAUUCCAGACUCUGAAAGUGUCCGCCAGCAGAGAGAGCUUCAUCAUCAACCUCAGACCUGCACUUUAUCUCAGUGUUUCCAACUGUACACCAAAGAGGAACAGCUUGCCCCAGAUGAUGCGUGGCGAUGCCCACACUGCAAGCAGCUGCAGCAGGGGAGCAUCACACUGAGCCUCUGGACCUUGCCUGAUGUUCUCAUCAUACAUCUCAAAAGGUUUAGGCAGGAAGGAGACCGAAGGAUGAAACUUCAGAACAUGGUUAAAUUUCCCUUGAGUGGCUUGGACAUGACCCCCCACGUUGUGAAACGCAGCCAGAGCAGCUGGAGCCUGCCCUCCCACUGGUCACCUUGGAGGAAGCCUUACGGCCUCGGCAGAGAUCCUGAGGACUACAUCUAUGACCUGUAUGCAGUCUGCAACCACCAUGGCACCAUGCAAGGGGGACACUAUACAGCAUAUUGCAAGAAUUCUGUUGAUGGCCAGUGGUACUGCUUCGAUGACAGUGAAGUUCAGCAGCUUUCUGAAAGUGAAGUGUGCAAGCAGACAGCUUACAUCUUGUUCUACCAGCGACGCACAGCCAUCCCCUCCUGGUCUGCCAACAGCUCCGUGGCAGGCUCCACGAGCUCGUCGCUGUGCGAGCACUGGCUCAGCCGCCUCCCGGGCAGCAAGCAGCCCAGCGUGGCCUCGGCCGCCUCCUCGCGCCGCACCUCGCUCGCCUCGCUCUCCGAGUCCGUGGAGCUCGCUGGGGAGCGCAGUGAAGAUGAUGGAGGAUUUUCAACUCGACCGUUCGUAAGGAGUGUGCAGCGUCAGAGCUUGUCAUCCAGAUCCUCUGUCACCAGUCCACUGGCAGUGAGUGAAAAUGGUGUCAGGCCCUCGUGGUCACUCUCUGCAAAGCUGCAGUUCCGCUCCAACUCCCCAUCGCGCUUCUCUGGAGAUUCCCCAGUACAUACCUCUGCUUCCACUCUGGAGAAGAUUGGGGAAGCUGCUGAUGACAAAGUCUCCACCUCGUGCUUUGGCAGCCUGAGGAAUCUCUCCAGCAGCUACUUGGAGCCCUGUGACAGUCGGCGAGAGCACAGGACAGCCCGCAGAGCCCCUCUGGCCGUCAUGGAAGGGGCGUUCAGGGAAGAGUCCGUUGUAAGGACAUCUAGCUCAGACCUUUCUGAUGGCUAUGGGAAAAGCUCUGUGCAGCCAGACAGGAACCACCCUGCUCUGGACCCUUUUGAUAACAACAAUCAGAUCGCCUUUGUUGACCAGAGUGAUUCUGUGGACAGCUCCCCAGUGAAGGAGGUGAAAGCCCCAGCUGGGACGGGGCUGGCUGCAGAGAAGGCACGUGACACCCCCAAGAAGGGUCACAGCUCCAAAGGAGCUUCUGAGCCAGACAAAAGUUUGAGGAAGGGAAGGACAGUCUUAGCUCCCCAAGAGACCAAAGUGUCUCACUCUUCUCCUCCACUGAAGAGUUCUCAGAAAGCUUCCCGCUCCAGGAGUAAGGCGGACUCUUCCAGGGUCAGCGGGCGACACGGGUCUCCUGCUCCCACUCAGGCUAGGAAGGACCACAGCACGAAGCCCCUGGAGGCAUCUGUCCCAUCAGCUCAGCAGAAGCAGAAGUCAGGUUCUCCAUCCUCCGCAGCUGCCAAGAAAGCCCCGUCAGGCUCAUUGACUAAGGGCUCCUCCUCUGGGAAGAGCCGGCCUUCGGAGCGCAGCCUCAGCAGGGAGGGCUCCAAGGUCAGCCUGGGCUCGGACAAAGCCAGCGUGACCAGCAGCUCCAGGACGAGCUCCCCUCGCAUCAGCCACUCCCGGAGCGACAGCAGGGCCGUGGACAGCCGGCACGUGCGCAGCUCCUCCAUGGCCAGCCUGCGCUCCCCCGGCGCCGCCGCGCGCGCCGGCCUCCGGAGGGACAGCAAGUCCGAGGAGAAGGGCUUGUCCUUCUUCAAAUCAGCCUUAAGGCAGAAGGAGACGCGGCGCUCGGCAGACCUGGGGAAGACAACAAUGCUGUCCAAAAAGGCAGGGAGUGUCGGUUCCAAGUCGGGCAGUAAAAACGUGCUGGAGGACAAACCAGAGAAAGGCGGUGUCCCACCAGCCUCUCAAACCAAUGCCAACAUCACUACGAAAGAAAAACUUGUCUCAAAAGAUGCCACAUCUAACAAACAUUCUCUGCUAUCCAGUCGCAAGUCCAAGUCUUCCCAGCUCGAUCCCGGAGUCCAGUCUCCUCCUUCCAGUGGCAAGCAGUCUGCUGACAGGCCACUGAAAAAGUUACCUUCCAGCAUGCAGGUGUCUGUACGGCCUUCUCUGGAACCUCAGUGAAAUGCUGCAAUCCAGGUGUCUUUUCUUCUGCUGAGAAGCUAAUUUAUUCUGAGCUCUUGUUUUUUGUUCAUGUGCCUAAUGUAUGUUUUGAGGAGAAGUUAACUGCGAGUUGUUAAAGCGCCUUUGAUUCUGCCAUCAAACCAAAUAGCCACAGGCAGCCAGCACUGGUGCAAGUAGCCUAGCUGGAGUCAUUGUUGAACCUGAAUGCAGCUGUCCCAUAGCACUUGUACAGGAGUCUCUGUGGAAAGUGCAACAGCUUUCUUCAGAUCUGAGAGGCGGGACCUGAGCCCGCUUGUACUGACACCGGUGUGCUUGUAGAGCUGUGAACUGCUGUUCCUUUGGGCUUGUUCUGGGUGGGCUGUGUCCACACUGCUGUAUGGCCUUGUUCUGAGCUGUGGAGGAUGCGAAGGAAACGGGAGAGACUGUCGCUUCUUUCUGCUCUCAACUCUCUGUCCCUGCUCCCCUCCAUUUCCAGGCUUUCUAAAGGGCAAUAUUUCAACACUAAUGUUGUUUCUCAGGUAUAUACUCAGCAGUAUAGGAGGGACUAGCAUUAGUGACGGACAGAAAGGUACCUGUGUGUCUGUGUAACAGAUUUCAUUUUUGCAUUCCAAGAGCAGGAAGUUUGAAAUGGAACCUGCAGUUUUUGUUGCUGUGUCUACGAAGAGUUUUGCUUUAUCCAUAUCAAAAGCAACCUCUGCCCUGUCCUGUUUAGCUACUUCUGAAAUGCUCUGCUAAACAACAGAAGAAAUCCCUGGGCAGCAGCUGCUGGCCAGCUCGUCCUGUGGGAGCAGUGCCAUGGGAGAGUCAUGUCCACACACCUGGAUCUGGAUGGCCAUGAUGCUGCCAGGAUGUUCAGACUCCUGGGAAGCAUUUCCUAAUGUGCUCGGACCCUUAUCAUAGUGGUGUAAUUAAGCCUCCAUUAUCUCUAGGGGUGAAGUUCAGAUCAAGUGUCAUGCUGCCCUCUCUGAGCAUGCUUUGACAGGCCCCUCUGUGUGUGGGCUGGAGGGGCUGUACCCAAACCCCCAGGACAGUUUCCUGCUCCUGGCAUGCUCAUCCCCUCCCCAUGGGUCUGGCUGCCACGUGUCCCUCAGUGGAAGGUUCCCCUUCUUGUUUGGACGACAGCCUCCAUCAGGGUCAAAACACUACAUCUACUGAUGUCUUUGUUUACACGCCCUUCUUACAGGGGAGAUUCCUCAAGUUCUGUAAGGUUCCUCUUAAGGUGGAUUUCUUAAGUCCUUUGACACUUUUGUGGUGUAAUUCUUUUUUUUUUUUAAUUCCAUGAAUUUUUAUUGAUGUGCUGCACAUCCUUUAUGUGCACAGCCUGUGGUGUAGGCUGUGACAAGCUGGGCAGUGUGCUGGCCAUGCUCUCUGCUGAGCAAGCUCUGUGCCUGUCCAGUCCCAUGGCAGAGCUUCUCUGGGCAUGGCUUGGGGCCAGGGACGUGUGUGCUGUCCCAUCAGUCUGAGCCCAUAACAGACUGGCCUGCAGGCAGCCUUGCCCCAGGUCUGCUGGGCACCUUGCUGCUCUGAGAUCAGGUUUCUGCUCGCCACACACCUGCAGCAAGCGUGGGAGGGGAGGGCUGGGGACAGCUGGGUCCUCAGAGUGUGUGUGGGGUGAGCUGGGAGUGUCACUGAGCUGCAGUCAGUGUGUGGGGUGAGCUGCAGUCAGUGUGUGGAGUGAGCUGGGAGUGUCACUGAGCUGCAGUCAGUGUGUGGGGCUGAGCCCAGCCCAUGUACCCCUUGCAGUUCCUGGUGAUGUCCCCCCCAUGCUGGUCCCCUUCCCGUGCCCCAGCAGUGCCACAGCCUGCACCUGUCAUGCCCUGACUGCUCCAACCCGACCAUGAGUGUCCCCUCAGUGCAUUCCUUCACCCAGGCAUUGUUUCAGUCUCAUUUAGUGCAGCAACAAGAAGCAAAGAUUGCAUUGCUUGCUUCUGAAAUGUAUGACUUGGAUUAUUCCUGGAUUAUUUUCUGUUAUAUCCAGCAGAGCAGAUAAGACUUGCUUCAUAUUGCAGUACUUAAAUUACUCCCUGAAAUGUUGAUGUUGAAGUAUUUGUUUAAGGUUUUAUCUGUAUUAAGGUCUUACACUGUCUUGGCUCUUCUCUUGUAACAACUCUUCUAGCAAGAAUGUAAUUCCAGUGGCUUAUGCUGACUCGGUUUGGGAUAUUUAAUAGACAGAACUACUUUCUGUGCAUUUUGCCAUGGACAUUUGUGAAAGGUUAUUUUUAUCAAAUGACAUUUUUUUCUCAUGUCAUCUCUCACUGAAGGAGUUUAAGCUGGUGUGUGGGUUUUGAGGUGGUUUUGCUCCUGUGCUGCAUGUCUGACUGAAGGGAAUUUGAAGCCAUGUCCAAACCCAUGUUUUAGCUGAACACCAGUUCAGUGUUUGUAUCUGGAGCAAGACAAUGGUGCUUGGAGCUCUGAUUUGGGUAGAAGGGAGAUGGAGGUCCUGGUAUUCCAGCAGCUGAUAAAAGUAGUUGAACCUCUGCAGUCCCAUAAGAUGCCAAUCUCACUCUUUCUGCACAUUCUCCAUAAUUCCCGAUGCUGAUUGCUGCCAGCUCCAGCACUAUCUGCUCUCUUUGUGCUGCCAGACAGUGUUUCUCUGUCCCUGUGGAAUGGCAGCUCUGGUGCACGGGCUGCUGCUCUGCAGAGCAGUGUGAGCAGCAGGAGGGGCUGCACUGGCACUGCCCUCAUCUCUGCGCAGCUGGGAUCCUCUCCUCUCUGCUGGGUUUGCUGCUCAGGAGGGCUUGGCUUGGGGUGUCCUCAGGCAAGGUGACUUGGCAGGGUGCCCCAGGUGUCCUGUGGGGCACAGGACACGCUCAGGUGUGUGGGCAGUGUGUGGGCAGUGCACCCCUGCUCCAGGGCUGUGUCUGCUCUGUAUCAGGGCCGCUCAUGGCACUCCAACCUCUGCCUGCUGCUGUCACACAUCUCAGCAGUAACCAGCUUCCUUGCACAGGAGAGGGUUGAAGGGUGUGGGGCUGGGAAACACUGUUCACUGGGAGUGUUAAUCCAAGCCUUGUUGCUGUUACAGUCAUGGCUCCAUCAGUGAAGCAGGAGAAAUGUUUCUGAAAUGGAAUGUAGUUACUACAGGCCCUACUUAAAGGGAUUUGGGGAAAAACCACCAGUCUUCUCUUGCUUUGAAGCAGACUUAUCUCUUGUCCCUUUCAUGUGUAGGAGCUCCUGUCCAUGGUAUUGUGUUGUCCAGCUGCCAGGAUGUGGCAUGGGACCAGGGAGCACUGGAGAGAGGGAUCUGCCAAGUCCUAGAUGCCAGCACCACCGUGGCUUUGCACAUGGAUCCUUCAAGCAGCAGUGGCUCGAGGCUGUUCUGGAGCAGCUGCAUGUUCAUGGUCACAUCUUAACGUUCCUGGUGGCCAUCAGAGGCACUCCUGGCUGAGGGGGAGGUGGGCUCUGCCUUCUCCCAGAGGCUGCUGCUGCCCAGGGACCCCCAGCUGCCCUGGGUGGUGGCAUGUAGGGCCUGGGAAUGUCACAAACAUCUGAGUGCCAUGGGAGCAGCUGCUGCCAGGUGUGUCCUGUCUGGGGAUGGCAGGGUCUGGGACCUCCUGCCCAGGUCCUGGGAGCACAGGUAUGCAUCAUGGUGAUGGGAAUUGCCUGGGAAGGGGAGGCCCAGCAGUGCCCUGGUCCCAGAGGGGUGAGCUCCAGGGCAAAGCAGGUGAUCAGGCAGCGUUUCCAAUGCCUUUGGGUUGGAGUGUGCUCCAGUGUGUGACUUGCAUUUCAGCCCAGCCCCUGGUCUGCCUCCUGCUCCUGCUCCUGGAACUGGCCCUCAGGGCGCAGGAGAGCAGCGCCUUCAUUCCAGUGCUCAAUUCCUACAGGAGUCACCUAGAGACUUUUUUUUUACCCUUUUUGGGCUGUGUCUUUUGGAUAGUGUUUAGUAGUAUUCAAGUUAUAAGCACAUUUUCAAUGACGUGUAUUGAAGAGGCACCUUUUAUUUGUAUUAAUCACAUUUGAUAGACAAUUUGGUGCCUGCAGUUCUCUGUAACCUGUGUCUCACUUAGGGUGUGUAAAUUGUUAACCCUUUCAGACUUACUGAAUAUGGAUUAAUAAAAACAAGAUGCUUAGGAUAGAAAGCUAGCAGCUUAAUUGCACUUCUCCCACUGCAGGUGCCCCCGUCCGCCGUGGCUGCAGGGGUUUUGCUUUCUGAACGUGAGCAUGAGCCCUUUCCUGGGUUGGAGGCAGCUUGCAUGGCCGUGCUGUCCCCAGUGCAUGUCCCUACUAACUAUGCAAGCCUCGCCCACCGUGGGCUCCAGAGCGCUGCCUGGAGCCUGUGCUGCUGCCUCUGCAGCUGCUGCUGCACACAGGAGCAUGUCCCUGCUUCCUGCUUCCUUUGCACAUCUCUGACCUUUCCUUUGCAGGACUCUGCGUUACUGACAAGGCUGGAGCUAACAUGGGGUUAGAGGGAUGGGAGCAGGAAAACGAGAGCAAGCUGAUUUCUCUUUUGUCUUGUUUUUCCUUUUGGUAGCAGGGCAGCCUGCUCAGGGUUCUGUGUGCAGCUUGCUGUUGCAUGCAGUGCAAGGGGCUGUGAGGAGGGGCUGUGCAGGCACACAGAGCUGCUCUGAGUGUCCUUGAAGGGGAGCAGCUCCCAGCUGCCUCCUGCUGCCCACGCUGCCCUUGGGCUCUGCCCUUGGGGCCCUGGGCUGCUUGUCCGUGCUGCAGAGCCCUGUGUGCUGCAGCAGAGCCCUGUGUGCUGCUGGGGCUGUGCAGCAGAGCCCUGUG